rnacentral:rRNA from 1 species
GGGCCCGGUGUGUCAUCCAGCGUUCUCGCUGGUCCACUCCGCCGGGCUCAGGCCAGCAUCUGUUCGCCGCGGGGGACAAAAGCUUCGGCAACGGGGCUCCCUCGGGAGUGUUAUAGCCCGUUGCCCAAUCCCCUGCGGGGGACUGAGGUUCGCGCUCCGCAAGGAGGCAGGCGUAAUGGUCAUCAGCGACCCGUCUUGAAACACGGACCAGGGAGUCGUCUUGGUUUGCGAGUGUUCGGGUGUGAAACCCCUACGCGUAAUGAAAGUGAAGGCAGGUCAGAGUUUGGGCGCAUCAUCGACCGAUCCUGAUGUUUUCGGAUGGAUUUGAGUAAGAGCAUAGGGGGCCGGACCCGAAAGAAGGUGAACUAUGCCUGUAUAGGGUGAAGCCAGAGGAAACUCUGGUGGAGGCUCGCAGCGGUUCUGACGUGCAAAUCGAUCGUCAAAUAUGGCAUGGGGGCGAAAGACUAUCG